GAGNAAUGCUUANGAAUUUGCCCAGUCGAGGGGGAUAACUAUUGGAAACGAUAGCUAAUACCGCAUACGCCCUACGGGGGAAAAGAGGGGACCUUCGGGCCUUCUGCGAUUGGAUAAGCCUAAGUGAGAUUAGCUAGUUGGUGAGGUAAUGGCUCACCAAGGCGACGAUCUCUAGCUGGUCUGAGAGGAUGAUCAGCCACACUGGAACUGAGACACGGUCCAGACUCCUACGGGAGG
rnacentral:rRNA from 1 species